CCCGACUGCUAUUUGGGUGAGAAUAAGCCAUGCGAGUCGAAUGGGAUACCUAAAUCUCCCAUGGUAAACUGCUCAGUAACACAUGAUCAACUUACCCUAUAGAGAAAAAUAACCUCGGGAAACUGAGGAUAAUGUUUCAUAGUUGAAUAGGCUUGGAAAAGUUUUUCAAUAAAAGGGAUAAGGAAAAUGGUCCUUAUCCGCUAUAGGAUAGGAUCGUGUUCGAUUAUGGUUGUUGGUGAGGUAACGGCUCACCAAGCCGAUAAUCGAUAGGGGCCGUGAGAGCGGGAGCCCCGAGAUGGGUACUGAGACAACGACCCAGCCUUACGAGGCGCAGCAGGCGCGGAACCUCCGCAAUACACGAAAGUGUGACGGGGUUACCCAAAGUGCUCUUUAUAGAGCUGUGGUAGGUGAGUAAUGUUCCCUACUAGAAAGGAGAGGGCAAGGCUGGUGCCAGCCGCCGCGGUAAAACCAGCUCUUCAAGUGGUCGGGAUAAUUAUUGGGCUUAAAGUGUCCGUAGCCGGUUUAGAAAGUUCCUGGUAAAAUCGGGUAGCUUAACUAUCCGUAUGCUAGGAAUACUGCUAUACUAGAGGGCGGGAGAGGUCUGAGGUACUACAGGGGUAGGGGUGAAAUCUUAUAAUCCUUGUAGGACCACCAGUGGCGAAGGCGUCAGACUGGAACGCGCCUGACGGUGAGGGACGAAAGCCAGGGGAGCGAACCGGAUUAGAUACCCGGGUAGUCCUGGCCGUAAACGAUGCAUACUAGGUGAUGGUACGGCUAUGAGCCGUGUCAGUGCCGUAGGGAAACCGUUAAGUGUGCCGCCUGGGAAGUACGGUCGCAAGGCUAAAACUUAAAGGAAUUGGCGGGGGAGCACCACAAGGGGUGAAGCCUGCGGUUC
rnacentral:rRNA from 1 species